GGGAGUAGACAUUAUUCAGUCUGAUCAUUUUUUUUUUUCUUUAUCAAUGUGUUUAAUAUCCACAUUUUUGGCGUGAAAUAAUGACCGUGCCAUAUUUCUUUUUAUAUAGUUGAACAAUUUGAACUUUCAAGUAUGUAAACAACAUAAAGUGAAAUUACUUCUGAUAAGAGAAAAUCUUUAAUGUACGACCGCUAAACACCGGUAAAUCCAAAUGAAAAAUUGAUAGACAUGUGUGUGUGUGCGUAAGGAUGAAUCAUCGAUUUACUAUUAAAGAAGGAUCAAUUAAGGAUAUUAUUAAUACAAAGGUAUCUUUAUAGUAUCUAUGGAAAUAUCACGAGAAUUUCAUACUGUAUAAUUAAGUUUAUCUAUUGAAGAAACUUUGUAAUAUAAAAUUAAUUGAAAGUGGCAAUACUGUAAGAGCAUAUUAAUGAUAAUGUUGAAUCUCGUUGAAUGAUUAAUUAUUUUUAAGGGAUAGUUUUGAAAGAAAUAACACAUAAUGAUAGUACUUCUAUGCGAUUUAACAGAAUCAUUUGAUACGUUCAUAAUGUUGUUGAAAGAUCAUUAUAAAAAUGAGCUCACUUUGGAAUUGAACAAAUUAAUAGAUAAAAAAGUUUCGAGAAAGAAUCAUUUAAGGUAUAGCAUGAAAAAAUCCGACGAUAAGACCUUGUAUAUAUUAAGAAAUCAAGCACGAUAUAUAAUCAGGUGUAAGGAAAUAAAGGAUAAAUUCUACAGUAAUUUAGUCGUCGUAUGUUACUUUCAUAAUAAUUUAGGACACAUAAAGAGGUUAUGUCGAAUGUAUAAUAAAUGGAAGGAGAAAAGUUGAAAGGAAAAAAAUCAGUUAAGUUAUAGGUUAUGAUAAUGUAUGUGUGUCUUCAUGAUCAUAAAUGUCGUUUAAACGAUCCAGAUUGAUUCAGGAACAUAUAUCAGUUGAAAGAUACAAAUAAUGCUUUAUUAGCAAUAACAAGACAACAUUCUAUAAAUUGUUAACACAUGUGGUACAGAAAGUUAGGAUAUAAGGACUACGAUAAGGACAAUUCAGGCAUUGGUAUUCAAGACCGUAGUUAAAAAGAUUACUAUGAAGAAUUAAAUGAUCAAGGAGAUCUGCUACGGUACAUGUCUGAGAAGGGUAAUAAUCAAAAAAGCUUUUCCACAAAAAUCUGUAAGUAAGUUUGAAUCCAUACUAGAGUACAGAUGUUUGCGAAAACAUUGGAAACAAUGAGAUCAAAUCAAAACCUAACAUUGACCGAUGAUUAUGGUAGAUAUAGAUUAUGGUAGAUCUUAAGACUUUUAGAUUGGAUAAAGGUACAGAGUAUAUCAAUAAAGGUUUAAAGGAUUUCUUUAAGAAGAAAUUGUAGUCAAAAGAAAAAAAUAGAUCUCCCUUAGAAAUGUUUAUAAAUUGAUGCCAAAAUUAAAGAAAAAAUAUUGGAGGGAGGAGGCGAAGACUAUCAAUUUUUUCAACUAUUUGCAAAACAUUCAUUAAAUCUACAGGAAUAAUAUCUCAAUGGAGAAAUGAAUUAGAAUGAAAUGAUUUCAAUAAACAUUAUAAAGGAUAUUGCCUCUUGAAUAUGAACAGAAUAAUUAUAAGUCAUGAUUUGAAAUUUAUGGAUUCGAUGGCUUAAAUACGAAGGAAGAUAUUUUAAUAAAGGAUAACAAUGAAAUAACAAUAAGUCUUCUUAAUGCUAUUCCAUCCUAUAUAAAAAUGAAUGAUUAAGAAAAAGCCAAAGACCACAUUGAAGAUAAAAAAGAAGAUUAUAUCGAAGAUGAAAUUGUGUGACAUUAAAGAAGAGGAUAUACUCAUACCAUGAACUGAUAAGUGGUUUAAUAUAUCUACCAAUUGUGCCUACACCUGACAUAUUACGCAGUAAGUUAUUUAAAUCAAUAUUAAUUGGUACAGGAGUUUACAUUGGAAAGCAGCCAAAAGAAUACUUAGAUGUAUUAAAGGCAUUGAUCAUUAUUUCAUAUCUUAUCAAUCAGGUUCUAUUUAAUGGGAAUUAAGAAAGCAAUGGACUGUUGCUUUAUCAACUAAGGAGACAGAAUACAUGGUGAUUACAAGUGCUAUUAAGGAGAAACUUUUAAGGAACUGGGAUUAGUUAUCAAACCUGAUGUCACUAUUUAUAAUGAUGAUCCAAGAGCAUUGAAAUUGUCAAGGAAUCUAAUAUGCCAUGGGAAAUUCAGGUUACAAUAUUUAUACACGAACAAUAUGGUUGGCCAAGUUUUAAUCAAGGCAUUAAACAUUUCAAAACAUAUCAAGUGUUUUAAAAAGUUUAAAUUUAAUUAGUUAAGUUCUUUUAGCGUUCAAUUUAAAAGAUAGUAUUGAAUGAUGUAAAUUAAAUAUGAACGCGAAAAUUUUUAUACACUUGACAUCCCAUUGUGUGUUUUUCUUAUGCGAGAUGUUAUGCCAAUCUCAUUUCCUUAAUAUUUCGUUCUCCCUGUUUAUGGAUCUCUAAAAAGGCGGAUGCAUUUAAGAAGCACAUUAUUCGAUUUAAUUAUUAUAAUUUUGUUUUUGUUUAAUAUUCUCAUCUGUAUUUAAACCUAUAUAUUAUUAUUUUUUUUUUUUUUUUUUAUAAUAAAAUCAUUAA